GUCUGGAUAGCUCAGCUGGUUAGUGUGUGGUUCUGAUAAUGCCAGGCUUGCAGGUUCGAUCCCCAUAUGGGGAUU